UAUAACAUAACAUUAAUGCACUGGAUCCCAUUAGAACUCUGCAGUUAAGCGCGUUCAGGCUAAAGUAGUAUUGGGAUGGGUGACUCCCCGGGAAGUCCUAGUGUUUUAC
rnacentral:rRNA from 1 species